rnacentral:rRNA from 1 species
UGGGGAAUUUUGGACAAUGGGGGAAACCCUGAUCCAGCCAUCCCGCGUGUGCGAUGAAGGCCUUCGGGUUGUAAAGCACUUUUGGCAGGAAAGAAACGUCAUGGGUUAAUACCCCGUGAAACUGACGGUACCUGCAGAAUAAGCACCGGCUAACUACGUGCCAGCAGCCGCGGUAAUACGUAGGGUGCAAGCGUUAAUCGGAAUUACUGGGCGUAAAGCGUGCGCAGGCGGUUCGGAAAGAAAGAUGUGAAAUCCCAGAGCUCAACUUUGGAACUGCAUUUUUAACUACCGGGCUAGGGUGUGUCAGAGGGAGGUGGAAUUCCGCGUGUAGCAGUGAAAUGCGUAGAUAUGCGGAGGAACAACGAUGGCGAAGGCAGCCUCCUGGGAUAACACUGACGCUCAUGCACGAAAGCGUGGGGAGCAAACAGG